UACAGAGGGUGCUAGCGUUGUUCGGAAUUAUUGGGCGUAAAGGGUGCGUAGGCGGUUCCGCAAGUCCUGUGUGAAAUCUUCGGGCUCAACUCGAAGUCUGCACGGGAAACUGCGGGGCUUGAGUGUGGGAGAGGUGAGUGGAAUUCCCGGUGUAGCGGUGAAAUGCGUAGAGAUCCGGAAGAACACCAGUGGCGAAGGCGACUUACUGGACACAUAUUGACGCUGAGGUGCGAAAGCGUGGGGAGCAAACAGG
rnacentral:rRNA from 1 species